rnacentral:rRNA from 1 species
GCAUAUCAAUAAGCGGAGGAAAAGAAACCAACCGGGAUUGCCUUAGUAACGGCGAGUGAAGCGGCAAAAGCUCAAAUUUGAAAUCUGGUACCUUCGGUGCCCGAGUUGUAAUUUGGAGAGGGCAACUUUGGGGCCGUUCCUUGUCUAUGUUCCUUGGAACAGGACGUCAUAGAGGGUGAGAAUCCCGUGUGGCGAGGAGUGCGGUUCUUUGUAAAGUGCCUUCGAAGAGUCGAGUUGUUUGGGAAUGCAGCUCUAAGUGGGUGGUAAAUUCCAUCUAAAGCUAAAUAUUGGCGAGAGACCGAUAGCGAACAAGUACAGUGAUGGAAAGAUGAAAAGAACUUUGAAAAGAGAGUGAAAAAGUACGUGAAAUUGUUGAAAGGGAAGGGCAUUUGAUCAGACAUGGUGUUUUGUGCCCUCUGCUCCUUGUGGGUAGGGGAAUCUCGCAUUUCACUGGGCCAGCAUCAGUUUUGGUGGCAGGAUAAAUCCAUAGGAAUGUAGCUUGCCUCGGUAAGUAUUAUAGCCUGUGGGAAUACUGCCAGCUGGGACUGAGGACUGCGACGUAAGUCAAGGAUGCUGGCAUAAUGGUUAUAUGCCGCCCGUCUUGAAACACGG